GCCCGUUUAGCUCAGUGGUAGAGCGCGCCACUCGUAAUGGUGAGGUCGGUCGUUCAAAUCGGCCAAUGGGCA
rnacentral:tRNA from 1 species